GUAUUGUAAAAGGGGAUCUAAAAUAAUUAAAGAAUUUAUAUAAAAUUAUACCUUUUGUUUCAGGGUAAAUUGAUAUAGUAUCUAAUUAAAUAUUUCGAAACUAAUUGAUCUAAAGAAAAUGAGGUAUAUUUAUAUCAAAAAAGAAUAAAAUUUUCUAAUAGGGAUGAAAAUUUAAACGAGGUUAGGAAUAUCUAAUUAAAAAUGAAAUAAUAAAGUUGUUUAUUUAUAGAAAAGAAACUUAAUUGAGUAAGUUUAUUAAGACUUAAAUAAAAAUAAUUAGUAUAAAAAUCUAAGCUUUAAAUUAGUUAUGUUAAUAGUUUGUAUUUAAUAAUUUUUUUUAUUAUAAUUAAUAUUUAUAUAUAAUUUUUUAUUCUUUUAAAUAUUUAAAAACCAAUGAAAAUGAUCUAAUUAGUAUUUUUGUUUGUUAAGAAAUAUUAACUAAAUUAGAUUUUGACUGUUUAACAAAAACAUUUUUUUCUUGUUUUAUAGAAAAUAUAACCUGCCCAGUGAUUAUUAAACGGCUGCAGUAUUUUGACUGUGCUAAGGUAGCAUAAUAAAUUGUUUCUUAAUUGGAGACUGGAAUGAAAGGUUGAACAAUUUUUUUAUAAUAUAAAAAAUAAUUAAUGAAUUUUUAAUAUAAGUAAAAAUACUUAUAUAAUUUAAAGGGACGAUAAGACCCUAGAAGCUUUAAUCUUUAAAGAUACAAACUAAUCAUAUUAAAAAUUUGUAUUCUAAAAAAUUUUUGUUGGGGAAAUAAUAAUUUUAUAAAUAAUUUAUUAUAUGUAGUAGAAAAGUUAUUUAAGGUCUUUUUAAUAAAAAUGAUUAGAACUAGUUACUCUAGGGAUAACAGCGUAAUAAUUUUGGUUAGGCCAUAUAUAUAAGAUUGAUUGCGACCUCGAUGUUGAAUUAAAAUAUCUUUAUAGAGUAGAGAUUAUAAAAGAAGGUUUGUUCAACCUUUAAUAUUUUACAUGAUUUGAGUUCAAACCGGUUUAAGCCAGGUUGGUUUCUAUCUUUUAGAGAUUUAAAAAUUUUUUUAGUACGAAAGGACCAAAUAAUUUUAAUAUUU
rnacentral:rRNA from 1 species